rnacentral:rRNA from 1 species
CCUACGGGACGCAGCAGUAGGGAAUCUUCCACAAUGGACGAAAGUCUGAUGGAGCAACGCCGCGUGAGUGAAGAAGGGUUUCGGCUCGUAAAGCUCUGUUGGUAGUGAAGAAAGAUAGAGGUAGUAACUGGCCUUUAUUUGACGGUAAUUACUUAGAAAGUCACGGCUAACUACGUGCCAGCAGCCGCGGUAAUACGUAGGUGGCAAGCGUUGUCCGGAUUUAUUGGGCGUAAAGCGAGUGCAGGCGGUUCAAUAAGUCUGCUUUGAAAGCCUUUGGCUCCACCCGAGAAUUGCAUCAGAAAAUU